rnacentral:misc_RNA from 1 species
AAGUCGUAACAAGGUCUCCGUUGGUGAACCAGCGGAGGGAUCAUUACUGAGUGUAAAAACUCCCAACCCUUUGUGAACAUACCUCUGUUGCUUCGGCGGAUGCGCCCCGGGCGCGCCUCUCGCGAGGCGUGCCCCGGAACCAGGCGCCCGCCGGGGGACCAAACCAAACUCUUGUAUUCUAGCGGAUCUCUGAGUGUGAUUUAAACAAAUCAAAUUAAAACUUUCAACAACGGAUCUCUUGGCUCUA